UUGGUAAAUGAUGACCCAGAUUUAAAACUAAUUCUAAACAUUCCCAUACUGACAUCUGUCUACUAUAAUGCCUCACUGGCAACUGUGAGAUGGAGCCAUGAAAAAUAACAGAACAAAACAGCAGAAUAGUCAGGAAUUUAAAGGCAGGGGAUGAAAACCAAGCUGCGGCUUUAACCUUGAAGCUUGGUAGACAUGCAGGAGGCCUUGUUUGAAUGAGUUUGUUUAUGUCAGCCUCAAAAAAAAAGAAGACAGAUAUGUGAUAUUAUUUUGAACAUUUUCCCCACAAACUCCCCUAUAAUCCACUGUGUUCCAAGCUCAUUUCCUUGCAUAAGAAAAAGGCAGGUUGACAGGAAAAUUGCUGCCCCCGCCAACACAGUUUACAUUUGGAGCUGACAUCCCACUAACAACAGAGGAAACCAAAGGAUGCCUAGGUCAAGAGGAGAACAUAUUCUCAAAUCUGGCUACGACCGACCAGUAACUGAACAGAUUCAUCCUUCAGGCCUGACCUGGGAGCUGAGGCAGAAAUAUGAAUUUCAAACUGGGGUGGGGGGUGCCAUAUGGGAGCUCAGAAAAAUGGAAGUGGAUCGGAGAUAGACAAGAGAGGAAUCUGUCAUUCUUGGGCUCGGAUGUCGGGAUCUACGUGAACGGACAGAUGGCCGGCCCUCAGGAAGGGCUUGGGGCGUUGGAUUUGCUCUCAGACCGUGGGAAAGUCUUUGGCUGACUUCACCUGCUCAGGGAGCUGAUGUGACUGGAUUAAACAGCAAAGAAAGAAGUGAGAAAAGAAAAACUGACACGGACAACGGUGCACAAGGUUUUGUGCAAGUGCGAGCAUUUUCUCAUAUCUUGUUUAAGAAAGAGAGAAAAAUGGGACAAAUGGGACCCAUUAAAACGAUUUACUAUUUGAAUUUAGAUUUGUUUUCAGCAUACAUGCUUUGUAAAAUAUUUUUUUAGUGUAUGCAAAGGGAGACAGGGUGGAUGGGUUCAUUCUAUUUUUUGCAUGUGUCUUUGUAAUCCUAAUUGGAAACAGUUGAUCCUCAGUUUGUUGGGACAUUAGACAUGAUGUUUGGCCAUCUCUCUCUCUGCUUUUGAUUAUCUCUGUCUCAGAGAGACGGCCAUGUGGAGGCUUUGAUUUAUUGUUAUUAAAAAAGAAUGGGGCCGUUUGUCAGCCUUUCAUCUGAUUGAUGCUAAGAUGCAUGCACACUUCAGAUUCAUACUCAUAAGGAAGCACGGGGCCGUGCAUUUAAUGGGUCAUUAAUUAUCUGUUUGAAUGUGCAAUAAAGUUAGAUAAAUUACUUGCGCUGAAACAUCGUGUUUUUCUCAUUUCAUUUAGUGUGUGGAUGUGAGAAUUUAUGAAGACGCCACUUAAAGGUGUGCUGACAAGUGUGAAACUCCAUUUUAAACCAUACAAAUGAAUGAUUGAAAACAAAAAUCACUGUCAUAACUGGAAUAAUGAACAGUGCAGCAUGACGUCCAGACAGGUAGCUCUUUAUUCACAGCUCAAGGAUUCCCCUCUGCGUUCUGAGUGCAGAUUUCAGCAAAAGAAAAGCAAAGAUCCUCACGUUCAAACACCAUCACCUGUGAGGUUGUCAAUUCAUGUUCCACUUGAAUUCGAUAUUGUUUUUGAUAAGUUACAGUAACCAUGUCAGUAAACUCAUUUUUAACAUUUUCAGGAUGGUGUGUGUGUGUUGUGUCUUUGAGAUUAGUUACUGACAAUAUCAUCCAGUUAAUUUUCACUUACACUAUAAUCUAUUACACAUUUUAGAAAUAUAUAGAUAAAUAUAUUUAACGCUGUUUUUGAUUAUUCUUUCAGAUUUAACUGGCAGCGACUUUGUGGAAAAUUCAGGGAAAAAAACUUGCCAA